UCUCCGUUGGUGAACCAGCGGAGGGAUCAUUAAAGAUGCGUUGUACGUAGCUGCUCCCCGGGGUCCGCCCCGGGGAGGGCCACUGUCUCCAUCACACCUGUUGUCUUACCGCCUGCCGGGCCGUGUUGCCUCGGCGGGGUCGUGCCUACCGGCUCUUCUAUUCCGGGACGGCCCGCCCCGCCGAAGGUACCGCCCACUAAACUCUUGUAUAACAUGGAACCUCUGAGAAAGCUUAUAAAUAAGUCAAAACUUUCAACAACGGAUCUCUUGGUUAUGGCAUCGAUGAAGAACGCAGC
rnacentral:misc_RNA from 1 species